rnacentral:rRNA from 1 species
AUACGUAGGGGGCAAGCGUUAUCCGGAUUUACUGGGUGUAAAGGGAGCGUAGACGGUAAAGCAAGUCUGAAGUGAAAGCUCGGGGCUCAACCCCGGAACUGCUUUGGAAACUGUUUUACUGGAGUGCCGGAGAGGUAAGCGGAAUUCCUAGUGUAGCGGUGAAAUGCGUAGAUAUUAGGAGGAACACCAGAGGCGAAGGCGGCUUACUGGACUGUAACUGACGUUGAGGCUCGAAGGCGUGGGGAGCAAACAGGAUUAGAUACCCUGGUAGUCCACGCGGUAAACGAUGAUCACUAGGUGUCGGCGGCCAUAGGCGGUCGGUGCCGCAGCAAACGCAAUAAGUGAUCCACCUGGGGAGUACGUUCGCAAGAAUGAAACUCAAAUGAAUUGACGGGG